rnacentral:lncRNA from 1 species
AAAAGAAUUAACAAAUUGGGAUAAGCAACAUAAAAGGUGAAGCUGGUUUAUAAAUAAAUAAUUAAACAGACAAUAGAAACAAACAUAUGAGAAAUUCAAAAAUCAAAGUGAUCAUGUAGUUUAAGAUAAUAAUUAUUAAUAUGUUUAUGAAAUAGAUAAUAAAAUUAGGAAUUUCGGCAGAAAAAUAGGAACUAUAAAGAGAAUCGAAUGGAAAUUCUAGGAAUGAAAAAUAUAAUAGUUGAACUUAG